GACGAACGCUGGCGGCGUGCUUAACACAUGCAAGUCGAACGAAGUGGCGAACGGGUGAGUAAUACGUGAGUAACCUGCCCUCCUUUUUGGGAUAAGCCUUGGAAACGGGGUCUAAUACCGAAUAAAGGGGGAUGGGCUCGCGGCCUAUCAGCUUGUUGGUGGGGUGAUGGCCUACCAAGGCGGUGACGGGGUGCCGGCCUGAUAGUGUGAACGGCCACAUAUGGCCUGGGAGACGGGCCAGAAGCCUACGGUAGGGGGCAGGUGGGGAUAUUGGGCCAAAGGGGGAAGCCUAGUAACGCGGCUGCGCAAGGGGGAUGAAGGCUUUCGGGUUGUAAACCUCUUUCGCUAUCGAACGGGUAGGUGGAGAAGAAGCGCCGGCUAACUACGUGCCAGCAGCCGCGGUAAUAC
rnacentral:rRNA from 1 species